GCCUAGAGCGUCCCGGAAGUGGCUGGGGGAAGGCGGCCAGGCGCGGACCGGCGGCGCGGGGAGAGGCGGCACUUCCGGCGGUGGCGGCGGCCAGGGUUUGCAGUUCCUAAAGCGAGGCAUGUGGGACCGUGCCAUGAGCCCAGAGGGGUGUCCCCAGCACAGGCGGUACAGCCUCGAUUAAGCAGAAACCGGCUCCAAGGACCCCUCUCUACUCUGUGGUCCAUGU